rfam:Brachypodium distachyon strain Bd21 chromosome 1, whole genome shotgun sequence.
UUUGUACUCCCUCCGUCCCAUAUUAAGUGCCGAAAUAUUAGAUGUAUCUAGACAUAUUUUAAUAUAUAGAUACGUCGAUAUUUAGACAAAUUUGAGUCACUUAAUAUGGGACAGAGGGAGUAGUUG